CUACGGGUUGCAGCAGUGAGGAAUAUUGCACAAUGGGGGGAACCCUGAUGCAGCAACGCCGCGUGGAGGAUGACGCAUUUCGGUGUGUAAACUCCUUUUAUAUGUCAAGAAAAUGACGGUAGCAUAUGAAUAAGCACCGGCUAACUCCGUGCCAGCAGCCGCGGUAAUACGGAGGGUGCAAGCGUUACUCGGAAUCACUGGGCGUAAAGGACGCGUAGGCGGGUUGGAAAGUCAGGUGUGAAAUCCUACAGCUUAACUGUAGAACUGCACUUGAAACUUCUAAUCUAGAGUAUGGGAGGGGGAGAUGGAAUUAGUGGUGUAGGGGUAAAUCCGUAGAUAUCACUAGGAAUACCUAAAGCGAAGGCGAUCUCCUGGAACAUUACUGACGCUAAGGCGUGAGAGCGUGGGGAGCAAACAGGAUUAGAUACCCCAGUAGUC
rnacentral:rRNA from 1 species